rnacentral:rRNA from 1 species
AACUUAAGCAUAUCAAUAAGCGGAGGAAAAGAAACCAACAGGGAUUGCCCCAGUAACGGCGAGUGAAGCGGCAACAGCUCAAAUUUGAAAUCUGGCCCUUACGGGUCCGAGUUGUAAUUUGUAGAGGAUGCUUUUGGCAAGGCGCCGCCCGAGUUCCCUGGAACGGGACGCCACAGAGGGUGAGAGCCCCGUCUGGCUGGCCGCCGAGCCUCUGUAAAGCUCCUUCGACGAGUCGAGUAGUUUGGGAAUGCUGCUCAAAAUGGGAGGUAUAUGUCUUCUAAAGCUAAAUAUUGGCCAGAGACCGAUAGCGCACAAGUAGAGUGAUCGAAAGAUGAAAAGCACCUUGAAAAGAGGGUUAAAUAGUACGUGAAAUUGUUGAAAGGGAAGCGCUUGUGACCAGACUUGGGCGCGGCGGAUCAUCCGGGGUUCUCCCCGGUGCACUUCGCCGUGUCCAGGCCAGCAUCAGUUCGUCGCGGGGGAAAAAGGCUUCGGGAACGUGGCUCCCCUGGGAGUGUUAUAGCCCGUUGCAUAAUACCCUGCGGUGGACUGAGGACCGCGCAUCUGCAAGGAUGCUGGCGUAAUGGUCACCAGCGACCCGUCUUG